rnacentral:tRNA from 1 species
GUUUGAGUAGUUUAUAAAAAUAUUAGUUUGUGGUACUAAAGAUGUAAUAUUCUAUUAUCUCAGACC